rnacentral:rRNA from 1 species
AGUGAACGCUGGCGGUAGGCCUAACACAUGCAAGUCGAACGGCAGCACAGGAGAGCUUGCUCUCUAGGUGGCGAGUGGCGGACGGGUGAGGAAUACAUCGGAAUCUGCCCAGUCGUGGGGGAUAACGUAGGGAAACUUACGCUAAUACCGCAUACGACCUUCGGGUGAAAGAGGGGGAUCGCAAGACCUCUCGCGAUUGGAUGAGCCGAUGUCGGAUUAGCUAGUUAGAGGGGUAAUGGCCCACCAAGGCGACGAUCCGUAGCUGGUCUGAGAGGAUGAUCAGCCACACUGGAACUGAGACACGGUCCAGACUCCUACGGGAGGCAGCAGUGGGGAAUAUUGGACAAUGGGCGCAAGCCUGAUCCAGCCAUACCGCGUGGGUGAAGAAGGCCUUCGGGUUGUAAAGCCCUUUUGUUGGGAAAGAAAUCUUUCAGGCUAAUACCCUGGGAGGAUGACGGUACCCAAAGAAUAAGCACCGGCUAACUUCGUG